rnacentral:rRNA from 1 species
ACGAACGCUGGCGGCGUGCCUAAUACAUGCAAGUCGAACGCUUCUUUUUCCACCGGAGCUUGCUCCACCGGAAAAAGAGGAGUGGCGAACGGGUGAGUAACACGUGGGUAACCUGCCCAUCAGAAGGGGAUAACACUUGGAAACAGGUGCUAAUACCGUAUAACAAUCGAAACCGCAUGGUUUUGAUUUGAAAGGCGCUUUCGGGUGUCGCUGAUGGAUGGACCCGCGGUGCAUUAGCUAGUUGGUGAGGUAACGGCUCACCAAGGCGACGAUGCAUAGCCGACCUGAGAGGGUGAUCGGCCACAUUGGGACUGAGACACGGCCCAAACUCCUACGGGAGGCAGCAGUAGGGAAUCUUCGGCAAUGGACGAAAGUCUGACCGAGCAACGCCGCGUGAGUGAAGAAGGUUUUCGGAUCGUAAAACUCUGUUGUUAGAGAAGAACAAGGAUGAGAGUAACUGUUCAUCCCUUGACGGUAUCUAACCAGAAAGCCACGGCUAACUACGUGCCAGCAGCCGCGGUAAUACGUAGGUGGCAAGCGUUGUCCGGAUUUAUUGGGCGUAAAGCGAGCGCAGGCGGUUUCUUAAGUCUGAUGUGAAAGCCCCCGGCUCAACCGGGGAGGGUCAUUGGAAACUGGGAGACUUGAGUGCAGAAGAGGAGAGUGGAAUUCCAUGUGUAGCGGUGAAAUGCGUAGAUAUAUGGAGGAACACCAGUGGCGAAGGCGGCUCUCUGGUCUGUAACUGACGCUGAGGCUCGAAAGCGUGGGGAGCAAACAGGAUUAGAUACCCUGGUAGUCCACGCCGUAAACGAUGAGUGCUAAGUGUUGGAGGGUUUCCGCCCUUCAGUGCUGCAGCUAACGCAUUAAGCACUCCGCCUGGGGAGUACGACCGCAAGGUUGAAACUCAAAGGAAUUGACGGGGGCCCGCACAAGCGGUGGAGCAUGUGGUUUAAUUCGAAGCAACGCGAAGAACCUUACCAGGUCUUGACAUCCUUUGACCACUCUAGAGAUAGAGCUUCCCCUUCGGGGGCAAAGUGACAGGUGGUGCAUGGUUGUCGUCAGCUCGUGUCGUGAGAUGUUGGGUUAAGUCCCGCAACGAGCGCAACCCUUAUUGUUAGUUGCCAUCAUUUAGUUGGGCACUCUAGCAAGACUGCCGGUGACAAACCGGAGGAAGGUGGGGAUGACGUCAAAUCAUCAUGCCUCUUAUGACCUGGGCUACACACGUGCUACAAUGGGAAGUACAACGAGUCGCAAAGUCGCGAGGCUAAGCUAAUCUCUUAAAGCUUCUCUCAGUUCGGAUUGUAGGCUGCAACUCGCCUACAUGAAGCCGGAAUCGCUAGUAAUCGCGGAUCAGCACGCCGCGGUGAAUACGUUCCCGGGCCUUGUACACACCGCCCGUCACACCACGAGAGUUUGUAACACCCGAAGUCGGUGAGGUAACCUUUUGGAGCCAGCCGCCUAAGGUGGGAUAGAUGAUUGGGGUG